UGAAGUGAAACCCCACUGCUUUCUUGCAGUGCAAAGAGUUGCUGGGUCACUUCAGAGCUGCAGCUGAGUUUGGAUACAUAAUUUUUUGAGAAACCAUUUUCAGUUGCUUUCAACUUGUUUUGGAUUCAACUCAUGAUCUUAAUGAUGAAGGACGCCACAACCUAUUAGCAGUCAUCUGAGUCAUCCAGAUCUCUCAAGAGCCUGUUUCAGUAAGUUGGUUAUGGAGAGCUCCUCCACAGAAGAUGGAAGGUCCAAAUUGAUAGAUACUGUCAAAAGGACCUUCAGAGAAUACAAAGGUUCUCCAGUCCUCGAAGAGGUUGCUUCAAAAGGCUGCAGCAAGAUCUGAUGCUUUCCAAGCUGAGUGAUGUUGGGAUUUUAUCGAUGUGACCAGCUGAGCUAUUAGAUCAGUUCAGAUCUGCUCUGAGUUAUUAGAUGCAACAGAAAAAAAAAAUAAAUCUGCAGUUGAUUUUCUCCAAAUCUAAUUGGGAAUAAAGCCAGAUUCUCUGACAAGUUCCACGGGGAUAUGUCUAGUACUGUUGAAUCAAGUUUAUUCUGGCUUUAUGUUGGAGCAUGGAGGACAAUGAUGAAUCUCACUGAGCUCUUAUUACUUAGUUACCAUUUUGACAAUUGUGCUCUGAGCUACGAAGCCAUCAGGUUCGUCAUACUGUGCAAUCCCUCUCCAUCCUCAAGAAACAUCUUGACUUCUGAGGGCGUUUUUUAGACAGCAGACUCUGGAUUGCUAUCAGCCUAGAAGAUGUGCCCAAAAGAGGAUGAAGGGAAUGAAGACGUGCUCAGUUUGCCUUUGAAAAUAGGAAUGUUGUAGUCUAUGCUGUGUGUUAUCACAAAGGUAAUGUGAUUACUCCACAGGACUAUGAGUGCCAAGCACAGCGCUCUAUGAGCUGCUGUGGGGAAUGUUAACUCCAUCCCAGGCACAUCCAGUACAGUGGUAUCCACUGGCUUCUCACCCAAAUGAUGUUUUCAGUGCUUAAUGAUGGUAUUAUACCUAAGGCUCAAUUUAAAAACAAAGCAAACAAACAAAAAAAACCACAGUAUUCUUUGUGCUCUUUGUCUCAUGGACUAGGUCAGGGAAUGUAGGCGUGUUCCUCUCUUUCUGAUAGAAUUUCUGCAUAGAUCAGACAGCUAGCAUGCAGACUGAAGAAAGAGUAGCUAAUGCACAAAGAAAUGUUAUGAGAAAGCUGAGGUAGUGAGGCAGCUUGCAACAACAAAGGACUGAGUGACCUGAGGGCUUGAGGCAGAAGCAAACCCAUCUAACCUCUGGGUACUAGAAAUAACGGUGAGUACUUGCAGAAAAAAUCUUGUCCUAGUUACUCAGCUGGCUAUAGUAAAGAUCUCAUUUCUAACUUUUUAUAGUGUUGCUAGAGCUCAUGGGCCAAGUUCUCUGCCUGUGUUGGUUUACCUUAUUUUUAUUCUUUUUUUUUUUUUUUUUCCCCACAGCAGCUCUGCUGUUUCAUCUAAGAUUUCUCUGCAAUUAUACCUUUGCAAUCUUCUCCUUUUUUCUUUUUUUCCUUUUCCCCAUAUCACUCAUCUAUGCUUUUAGCACCUUCAAUGACUUCAGAUCUUCCAUUCUUCAUGGCCAGGAAUAAAUUCUCACCUCUGUGGAUUUGAUGUUCUUGGACCUUUUGCUGGCCACUGCCAUGACACAGGGCUUGGAACUAGGUGAUCUUUAGGCUCUCUUGCAACCCAUUUGUGACUUUGGCCCUCCUUUGUAUCUGAUCUUGGCUGUGUUACAAGACCUAGUUUCAUAGUCUUGAGAACGAUAGCAAAGAUUGUACCUUGUCCUUUGACAGUGGAGAUAGAUAAUGGGCACUUCACUGCAAUUCUUACAAUGUAAAAACAGCUGAUCCAACUGUUCCCAUAAAAGUCCAAUUGGUUGCAGUAGGCAUUAUGUUCAUUCUGACAAUGAUAAAAUGAUUGCUUUAGUAUCUGGCUGUGUAACCCAUUUACAGCUUGUGCACCGGUAUUAUAAGAGUGUUUCAAUUGUGAAAAUCAUUGAGAUGUAAAUGUCAUGAUUAUAAUUUAUCUUCAUUAAAAAUUCAAUUGGAAGAAGGAAAAUUAAUACAUGUGCUGUAUAGUGUACCAGAUACUAAAAAGGUAAUAUGUUAUACUGAAAAUAGGGGCUUAGGAACGAAACUACAUCAGAAAAUAACUCAGAAGCACAUUCUAGUGAUGUGACAGGUGGUUAUCUCAAGGGCAUUGCCAGAAAUAUUUUACUGGCUCUCAGUUCUUGUCUGGAGUGGUGUAAUAUUUCAUCUUUCUCUAAUAGCAAUCUUAACACCUCUCCCCCCUCCCUACACUGCCAACGCAGACAAGCAGCCAAACAGACGGGGCUGUCGUCUUGUGUUUUAAUGCUUGAAAAUGAUUGUAUCACCUGAAACCACCAUCAGCUUGGAGCACAAAAGCCAGCUCUGAAUGUUAUUAACGUCACUGGAAAGACUUCCAUUAAAUUCAUUGAUCAUUG